rfam:Dipodomys ordii contig_12308, whole genome shotgun sequence.
GGGAAAGUGGCUCAGUGGUAGAGUGCUUGCCUUGCAUGCAUGAGGCCCUGGGUUCGAUUCCUCAGUACCA